rnacentral:sRNA from 1 species
UAAUAUACAAAGCACACGAUUCAUACGGACUUUGGCUACAACAUUAAAGCUUGGAGAAGCACGAAGAAGCUUGGUUAGUGUUUUGGAGUCGAAUAUGACUUGAUGUCAUGUGUAUGAUUGAGUAUAAGAACUAAAAGAGCAACCGGAUCUAAAACCCUAAGUAGUGUUUCCUUGUUAGAAGAUACAAAUCCAAAGACUCAUACAGACUUCGGCUAUACCAUCAAAGCUUUGAGAAGCAAGAAGAAGCUUGGUUAGUGUUUUGGAGUCGAGUAUGACUUGAUGUCAUGUGUAUGAGGGGGUAUAAAAACUAGAACCGCAACGGAUCUUCAAAGCCUAAGUAUUGUAUCCUUGUUAGAAGAUACAAUGACAAACAGUCAUAUGAACUUCGGCUACACCAUCAAAGCUUUAAGAAGCAAGAAGAAGCUUGGUUAGUGUUUUGGAGUGAAAUAUGACUAGAUGUGAUGUGUAUGAGUGAGUAUAACAACUAGAACCGCAACAAGAUUUUAAAAGCCUAAGUAUGUAUC